rnacentral:rRNA from 1 species
GACAGAGGGUGCAAACGUUGUUCGGAAUUACUGGGCGUAAAGCGUGUGUAGGCGGCCGCGUAAGUCGGAUGUGAAAGCCCUGGGCUCAACCUAGGAAGUGCACUCGAAACUGCAGAACUGGAGUCCUGGAGAGGAAGGCGGAAUUCUCGGUGUAGAGGUGAAAUUCGUAGAUAUCGAGAGGAACACCGGUGGCGAAGGCGGCCUUCUGGACAGUGACUGACGCUGAGACGCGAAAGCGUGGGGAGCAAACAGGG